UUGGCAAAAAGUUGUACUAUGGCUCCUCCGAGGGGCUGGUGAGUGCUGGCGUCGCUUAGGUGAAUUUUCAGAGUUACCUCUUCAGAGGUUAUAGCUUCCUUCA